GCUAAGACUGGAUAGGAAGAUAAAAGGCAUCUUUUAUCUCUUAAAAGACCUAGUAAUAGGUAUGCUUUAGGAGGGGCUUGCGCCAUAUUAGUUAGUUGGUAGGGUAAUGGCCUACCAAGACGAUGAUGUGUAGCUGGACUGAGAGGUUGAACAGCCACAUUGGGACUGAGACACGGCCCAAACUCCUACGGGAGGCAGCAGUAGGGAAUUUUCGGCAAUGGAGGAAACUCUGACCGAGCAACGCCGCGUGAAUGACGAAGUACUUCGGUAUGUAAAGUUCUUUUAUCAAGGAAGAAAAGCAAAUGGCGAACCAUUUGUUUGCCGGUACUUGAUGAAUAAGCCCCGGCUAAUUAUGUGCCAGCAGCCGCGGUAAGACAUAAGGGGCAAGUGUUAUCCGGAAUUAUUGGGCGUAAAGGGUGCGUAGGCGGUCUAGUAAGUCAGUGGUGUAAUGGCAACGCUUAACGCUGUCCGGCUAUUGAAACUGCUAAACUUGAGUUAGAUAGAGGCGAGUGGAAUUCCAUGUGUAGCGGUAAAAUGCGUAAAUAUAUGGAGGAACACCAGAGGCGUAGGGCGGCUCGCUGGGUCUUAACUGACGCUGAGGCACGAAAGCGUGGGGAGCAAACAGGAUUAAUACCCUGGUAGUCCACGCCGUAAACGAUGAGUACUAAGUGUCGGGUUAAACCGGUACUGAAGUUAACACAUUAAGUACUCCGCCUGAGUAGUACGUACGCAAGUAUGAAACUUAAAGGAAUCGACGGGACUCCGCACAAGCGGUGGAUCAUGUUGUUUAAUUCGAAGAUACCCGAAAAACCUUACCAGGUCUUGACAUGUUUUUGCAAAAUGAUAGUAAUAUCGUGGAGGUUACCAGAAACACAGGUGGUGCAUGGUUGUCGUCAGCUCGUGUCGUGAGAUGUUAGGUUAAGUCCUAAAACGAGCGAAACCCUUAUCGUUAGUUGCCAGCACGUUAUGGUGGGGACUUUAACGAGACUGCCAAUGAUAAAUUGGAGGAAGGUGAGGAUCACGUCAAAUCAGCAUGCCCCUUAUGACCUGGGCUACAAACGUGAUACAAUGGCUGUUACAAAGGGUAGCUGAAACGCAAGUUCUUGGCCAAUCCCCAAAAACAGUCCCAGUCCGGAUUGAAGUCUGCAACUCGACUUCAUAAAGUUGGAAUCGCUAGUAAUCGCGAAUCAGCAUGUCGCGGUGAAUACGUUCUCGGGUUUUGAUACACACCGCCCGUCA
rnacentral:rRNA from 1 species